UACGUAGGCAGCAAGCGUUGUUCGGAGUUACUGGGCGUAAAGGGUGCGUAGGCGGUCCUAUAAGUAUGGUGUGAAAUCUCCCGGCUUAACUGGGAGGGUGCGCUAUAGACUGUGGGACUAGAGUGUGGGAGAGGAAAGUGGAAUUCCUGGUGUAGCGGUGAAAUGCGUAGAUAUCAGGAGGAACACCGGUGGUGUAAACGGCUUUCUGGGCCAUAACUGACGCUGAGGCACGAAAGCGUGGGUAGCAAACAGG
rnacentral:rRNA from 1 species